GAUGAACGCUGGCUACAGGCUUAACACAUGCAAGUCGAGGGGAAACGACGGGGAAGCUUGCUUCCCCGGGCGUCGACCGGCGCACGGGUGAGUAACGCGUAUCCAACCUGCCUCUGACUGAGGGAUAACCCGUCGAAAGUCGGCCUCAUACCUCAUGGCAUCGUCUGCGGGCAUCCAACGACGAUUAAAGAUUUCAUCGGUCAGAGAUGGGGAUGCGUCUGAUUAGCUUGUUGGCGGGGUAACGGCCCACCAAGGCGACGAUCAGUAGGGGUUCUGAGAGGAAGGUCCCCCACAUUGGAACUGAGACACGGACCAAACUCCUACGGGAGGCAGCAGUGAGGAAUAUUGGUCAAUGGGCGAGAGCCUGAACCAGCCAAGUAGCGUGCAGGAUGACGGCCCUAUGGGUUGUAAACUGCUUUUAUGCGGGGAUAAAGUGAGGGACGUGUCCUUCAUUGCAGGUACCGCAUGAAUAAGGACCGGCUAAUUCCGUG
rnacentral:rRNA from 1 species